AACGAACGCUGGCGGCAUGCCUAACACACGCAAGUCGAACGAGACCUUCGGGUCUAGUGGCGCACGGGUGCGUAACGCGUGGGAAUCUGCCCUUGGGUGCGGAAUAACAGUUAGAAAUGACUGCUAAUACCGCAUAAUGACUCCGGUCCAAAGAUUUAUCGCCCAGGGAUGAGCCCGCGUCGGAUUAGCUAGUUGGUAGGGUAAAAGCCUACCAAGGCAACGAUCCGUAGCUGGUCUGAGAGGAUGAUCAGCCACACUGGGACUGAGACACGGCCCAGACUCCUACGGGAGGCAGCAGUGGGGAAUAUUGGACAAUGAGCGAAAGCCUGAUCCAGCAAUGCCGCGUGAGCGAUGAAGGCCUUAGGGUUGUAAAGCUCUCUUACCCGGGAUGAUAAUGACAGUACCGGGGGAAUAAGCCCCGGCUAACCCCGUGCCAGCAGCCGCGGUAAGAC
rnacentral:rRNA from 1 species